rnacentral:tRNA from 1 species
GUCACGGUGGUGUAGCGGUUAGAACGCUGGCCUUGUAAUCCUGGGGUCUCGGGUUCGAUUCCCGGCGGUGCCC